AAUCACUAGUGAUUUUGAGCGGGGGACACAUUUGGAAACGAAUGCUAAUACCGCAUAACAACUUUAAACACAAGUUUUAAGUUGAAAGAUGCAAUUGCAUCACUCAAAGAUGAUCCCGCGUUGUAUUAGCUAGUUGGUGAGGUAAAGGCUCACCAAGGCGAUGAUACAUAGCCGACUGAGAGGGUGAUCGGCCACAUUGGGACUGAGACACGGCCCAAACUCCUACGGGAGGCAGCAGUAGGGAAUCUUCGGCAAUGGACGAAAGUCUGACCGAGCAACGCCGCGUGAGUGAAGAAGGUUUCGGAUCGUAAAACUCUGUUGGUAGAGAAGAACGUUGGUGAGAGUGGAAAGCUCAUCAAGUGACGGUAACUACCCAGAAAGGGACGGCUAACUACGUGCCAGCAGCCGCGGUAAUACGUAGGUCCCGAGCGUUGUCCGGAUUUAUUGGGCGUAAAGCGAGCGCAGGUGGUUUAUUAAGUCUGGUGUAAAAGGCAGUGGCUCAACCAUUGUAUGCAUUGGAAACUGGUAGACUUGAGUGCAGGAGAGGAGAGUGGAAUUCCAUGUGUAGCGGUGAAAUGCGUAGAUAUAUGGAGGAACACCGGUGGCGAAAGCGGCUCUCUGGCCUGUAACUGACACUGAGGCUCGAAAGCGUGGGGAGCAAACAGGAUUAGAUACCCUAGUAGUCCACGCCGUAAACGAUGAGUGCUAGAUGUAGGGAGCUAUAAGUUCUCUGUAUCGCAGCUAACGCAA
rnacentral:rRNA from 1 species